GGCUGGUCCGAUGGUAGUGGGUUAUCAGAACUUAUUAACAUUAGUGUCACUAAAGUUGGUAUGCAACCUCCCAUUGCUAAAUUUGACUGGCUUUUA
ensembl:Y_RNA Y_RNA Y RNA